rnacentral:rRNA from 1 species
AUUGAACGCUGGCGGCAGGCUUAACACAUGCAAGUCGAGCGAGCGGCGGACGGGUGAGUAAUGUCUGAGAAACUGCCUGAUCGAGGGGGAUAACUACUGGAAACGGUCGCUAAUACCGCAUACCAUCAGAUGUGCCCAUAUGGGAUUAACUAGUAGGUGGGGUAAUGGCUCACCUAGGCGACGCUCCCUAGCUGGUCUGAGAGGAUGACAAGCCACACUGGAACUGAGACACGGUCCAGACUCCUACGGUAGGCAGGAGUGGGGAAUAUUGCACAAUGGGCGCAAGCCGGAUGCAGCCAUGCCGCGUGUGUGAAGAAGGCCUUCGGGUUGUAAAGCACUUUCAGCGAGGAGGCGUUACUCGCAGAAGAAGCACCGGCUAACUCCGUGCCAGCAGCCGCGGUAAUAC